AUUGAACGCUGGCGGCAGGCCUAACACAAUGCAAGUCGAACGGUAACAGGAAGCAGCUUGCUGCUUCGCUGACGAGUGGCGGACGGGUGAGUAAUGUCUGGGAAACUGCCUGAUGGAGGGGGAUAACUACUGGAAACGGUAGCUAAUACCGCAUAACGUCGCAAGACCAAAGAGGGGGACCUUCGGGCCUCUUGCCAUCAGAUGUGCCCAGAUGGGAUUAGCUUGUUGGUGGGGUAACGGCUCACCAAGGCGACGAUCCCUAGCUGGUCUGAGAGGAUGACCAGCCACACUGGAACUGAGACACGGUCCAGACUCCUACGGGAGGCAGCAGUGGGGAAUAUUGCACAAUGGGCGCAAGCCUGAUGCAGCCAUGCCGCGUGUAAUGAAGAAGGCCUUCGGGUUGUAAAGUACUUUCAGCGGGGAGGAAGGUGUUGUGGUUAAUAACCGCAGCAAUUGACGUUACCCGCAGAAGAAGCACCGGCUAACUCCGUGCCAGCAGCCGC
rnacentral:rRNA from 1 species